rnacentral:rRNA from 1 species
GAUGAACGCUGGCGGCGUGCCUAAUACAUGCAAGUCGAACGCUGGAGAUCUAGCUUGCUAGAUCGAAGGAGUGGCGAACGGGUGAGUAAUACAUAAGCAACCUACCCACGAAGACUGGGAUAAUCUCUGGAAACGGGGACUAAUACCGGAUAGGUAAUCGGAAGGCAUCUUCUGGUUAUUAAAGGUUAAAAACACUGGUGGAUGGGCUUAUGGCGCAUUAGUUAGUUGGUGAGGUAACGGCCCACCAAGACGAUGAUGCGUAGCCGGCCUGAGAGGGUGAACGGCCACAUGGGGACUGGGACACGGCCCAGACUCCUACGGGAGGCAGCAGUAUGGAAUUUUCGGCAGUGGGGGCAACCCUGACCGAGCAACGCCGCGUGAGUGAAGACGGCCUUCGGGUUGUAAAGCUCUGUUGUAAGGGAAGAACGGUAGAUAGAGAAUAUCUAAGUGACGGUACCUUACCAGAAAGCCACGGCUAACUACGUG